UAUCUACUCCCUCCGUCCCAUAUUAAGUGUCGAAACUUUGUCUGAAUACGUGUGUGCCUACACACUAAAACGCGUCUAGAUACAUGCGUAUCUAGACAAAGUUGUGACACUUAAUAUGGGACGGAGGGAGUAUAUG
rfam:Brachypodium distachyon strain Bd21 chromosome 4, whole genome shotgun sequence.